rnacentral:rRNA from 1 species
AAAGAAACUAACAAGGAUUCCCUCAGUAGCGGCGAGCGAAGAGGGAAGAGCCCAGCGCCGAAUCCCCGUCCGACGGGCGGAUUGGGGAAAUGUGGCGUACGGAAGACCGCUUGCCCGGUGUCGCUCGGGGGCCUGAGUCCUUCUGAUCGAGGCUCAGCCCGUGGACGGUGUGAGGCCGGUAACGGCCCCCGUCGCGCCGGGGUCCGGUCUUCUCAGAGUCGGGUUGCUUGGGAAUGCAGCCCAAAGCGGGUGGUAAACUCCAUCUAAGGCUAAAUACCGGCACGAGACCGAUAGUCGACAAGUACCU